ACCAUUGAUGAUUCAAUCCGUUUGUUGGAGGUGUAGUCUAGCCGAGACCCUGAAAAGGGAGAACCCCUUGGUGAAGCUGCAUUUCAUAUGACAUAAAUGGAUUCAACUGAGGU